CGUGCAGGCGGUUCGGUAAGUUGGGCGUGAAAUCUCCCGGCUCAACUGGGAGGGGUCGUUCAAUACUACCGAACUUGAGAGCGAUAGAGGAAAAUGGAAUUCCCGGUGUAGUGGUGAAAUGCGUAGAUAUCGGGAGGAACACCAGUGGCGAAAGCGAUUUUCUGGAUCGUUUCUGACGCUCAGACGCGAAAGCUAGGGUAGCAAACG
rnacentral:rRNA from 1 species